rnacentral:rRNA from 1 species
UACGAAGGGGGCUAGCGUUGCUCGGAAUUACUGGGCGUAAAGGGAGCGUAGGCGGACAGUUUAGUCAGAGGUGAAAGCCCCGGGCUACAACCUGGGAACAGCAGCCGAAACUGCAGGACUUGAAUGGUUGGAGAGGGUGGGGGAAUACCUAGUGGAGAAGUGGAAAUUCGUAGAGAUUAGGUGGAACACCAGAGGCGAAGGCGCCUGCCUGGCCAAACAUUGACGCUGAGGCGCGAAAGCGUGGGGAGCAAACAGG